rnacentral:rRNA from 1 species
UACGUAGGGAGCAAGCGUUGUUCGGAUUUACUGGGCGUAAAGGGCGCGUAGGCGGCGCGGUAAGUCACUUGUGAAAUCUCUGAGCUUAACUCAGAACGGCCAAGUGAUACUGCAGUGCUAGAGUGCAGAGGGGGCAAUCGGAAUUCUUGGUGUAGCGGUGAAAUGCGUAGAUAUCAAGAGGAACACCUGAGGUGAAGACGGGUUGCUAGGCUGACACUGACGCUGAGGCGCGAAAGCCAGGGGAGCAAACGGG